rnacentral:rRNA from 1 species
GAAAGAUGAAAAGAACUUUGAAAAGAGAGUUAAACAGUACGUGAAAUUGUUGAAAGGGAAACGAUUGAAGCCAGUCGUACCUUCGGGUAAUCAGCCUUUCGGGUGCGAUUCUGUGGGGUUUGAGGAGCUUUAACACCUUCAUGCUUUGCAUAUUCGUGCUCUUGGGUGUACUUGCCCGUAUGGUUGGUUAACAUCAAUUUCGGGCACCAUAAAAUGGCUGGAGGAAUGUAGCUUCGAUCUUGUAUUGAAGUGUUAUA